GAUGAACGCUAGCGGCAGGCCUAAUACAUGCAAGUCGAACGAUGAAGCUGGAGCUUGCUCCGGUGGAUUAGUGGCGAACGGGUGAGUAACACGUGAGCAAUCUGCCCUUGACUCUGGAAUAACUGCGGGAAACUGUAGCUAAUACCGGAUACUUUCACUGGAAGGCAUCUUCUGGUGAAGAAAGAAUUUCGGUCAAGGAUGAGCUCGCGGCCUAUCAGCUUGUUGGUGAGGUAACGGCUCACCAAGGCGACGACGGGUAGCCGGCCUGAGAGGGUGACCGGCCACACUGGGACUGAGACACGGCCCAGACUCCUACGGGAGGCAGCAGUGGGGAAUAUUGCACAAUGGGCGCAAGCCUGAUGCAGCAACGCCGCGUGAGGGAUGAAGGCCUUCGGGUUGUAAACCUCUUUUAGCAGGGAAGAAGCGAAAGUGACGGUACCUGCAGAAAAAGCACCGGCUAACUACGUGCCAGCAGCCGCCGUAACAC
rnacentral:rRNA from 1 species